AUUCUGCACUGGAUGGGCUUGCUCGAAUCCUCAAAUUCUUGAGUGUCCGUUUAGCCUUGGUCCAGUCAAGUGAGAAAGGAUCUCUCACAUUCUGGUUUGCAAUUAAAAAGUCCACAACAGGACCAGGCUGUAUAAUCAUAGUAGUGGAAACAUCAAUAUUCAAAGAGAGGCCACUCUGGGUUGUUCUAAAACUAGAAUGGAAGCCUCUACAGCCAAGGACACCGCCACCUACAUCAGUCCAAGUGCUUGGGUCAUCAUGGAAAAAUGACUGUCGGACAAGUAGGCAACCUUGCUCGGCG
rnacentral:misc_RNA from 1 species